CUUCCACUUCCUGUACAGUCGUGUUUGGUGAAAACUGAGUGCGUUCAAUUCCUCCACUUGCUUUGUUAUUUGUUUGUUUGAGUUUCCAUUUUUUCUAUGUAGACACUGGUAGAAGAAGAAAAGAAAACGAAAACAAGACAUAGAAGUUUUUUUCUGGGCACAUGCAAAAUUGGUCUCUUGCCACUAAAGAGAUAAUGAGGUAUAAGAACAUACUGGAUCACUGAGUCUCCACAUGGACAGCAGUUGCUCUGAUAUCCUGCCACAAAGGACAAGAAGCUCAAGGCAUCAACUUACUAGCUUGGCCAACUUCAUGCCGUCCAACCCACUAUCUCUGCCACCAGCAACUGCCAACUGAGCCUGAAAUGCAAGAUCUCCAACUUCAGAAUCGACAGUGCCUCUCUGAACAGGUUUAAGUAUAAAAAAAUAAGAAUGACACCCGUGUGCCUAGAAUUUGAGAAGGGCAGAGAACAAGCCCCUCUUCUUAAUGCUAAGCUCACAUAGCUGGGGAGACCCUCAGGGUUGCAUGUUUUCAUAAAGUAACAAUGUAAUGAGGUAUAUGGACUCUUAACUAAAAACCUUAGCAUUUUCCCCGACUCAAGAAUAAAACCAUAGUGUGUGCUUUCUGCCUUGAGAUUUCCAGGUAAUAUUUCUGAGCUUUAUUCUCAGUUCCAUAACAGAGAAGCAGUGGCUUUCUUUUAGGCAUCACACUUUACCUAUUAUACAUAUUUAGUGCAUCAGUCAUGCAAAUGUCAUGGCCUUCUCCUAAACAUGCACACAUAACCAAACUCUCGAGACCUGGUAUGUGGUGUAUUUCUUCAAUUCUUACAUUAUUAUAGAAAAUGCAUUCAAACAGAUUUUAAGCACACUUUAUUUAUGUCUUGACUUGGAUGUCAUGACUUUACAGAGUUGAUACACAUGAUUUUACUGUGGGAAUGCCAACAAACACUGCAAUCAGCCUAUAACUUUUUGUUGAAGGCCACUGAGCAUACAGAAAAGUGCACAUAUCGUAAGCUUAAUGAAUAUUCACAAUUGAACACAUACACAAAACUGGAACCCAGAAUCAGAAUAGAAUAUGCCUUUGGGUCUUCUUCCAGCCACUCUUCCCAAAAAAAUAACCAUGAUCCUACCUGUUUGUGCACGUUUUAUCAAUGGGAUCAUGAUGUAUACAUUCUCUUUUAUGUCUGUCUUCAUUUGUUUAAUAGUGUAGCUGGGAGCCUCACCCACGUUUUUGUGAAGAGUUGUACAUUAUUCUUUCUCAUUGUUGUAGAGUAUUCCAUUUUGUGCAUAUAAAACAAGCAUUCAUCCAUCCAUUCUGCAGCUGUUGGGCACUUAGCUGUUUUUCAGUUUUCAGUUCCAACGAAUAAUGCUGCUGUUAAAGUUCAGGGGCAUGUGUUUGAAUGCAAUUCACCAGUUCCUGUUGCUCAUCCAAAGGUAUGUGUGCGCUAGCUUUAGGAGAUGUUACGGAAUGGUUUUCCUGAAAUUAACACUAUUAACAGCACUGUGAGGGUGUCCCAGUCGCUCCACAUUCUGGCCGAUAUUUAGCAAUCUUUACUCAGAUUUUCGUUGUCUUGGUGGUGCAUAGUAGUAAUUACUAUUGUUUUAAAAACAAUGUUUGUUAAUCUGGUCGUUGAAAAGCUCCAGAUUUUCCUUUAUGAUGUAGACUUUUUCUUUUCUUUUUUUUUAAACAAAGAAACAAUGUUUGGACUUCAUGGGGCCUACUAAGUACAUAGUGUUACUGUGUGACAUCUAAACUGAUGAAGCUGGAUUGAAUGUGGGCCCCAGCGGACAGCUAGGUUCAUAUUAGUGGUGAACUAAUGUUUCUUACAUUAUGGUCGCUGGAUUUAUACUUCUUCAGAAUCACCCAGCACACGUGUCAUAGCCCUUAGGGAUUGCUUGUGAAGAGUGUCCGCAGACAUUAAAGCUGUAGGUGCUGAGAUUUGUACACGUCAGAGAAUCAGACCCCUGGUGUCACCACCACCAGCUGGCUCUACCAUGGUGUAGACCACUUCUUAUAGCAGACCAUGAUAGGCCAAGCACUGAUCCCAAGUGCACUCCUGUCCUUUCCUGAUUGCUUGCAGGUCAAAACUGUAAACACCUUGAAAAGGCAAAAAAAAAAAAAAAAAAAAAAAAAAAGAAAAAGAAAAAAAAAUGCUACCUCUGCCUGAGGCCAUAUGAAACAAAGAGUGGCAGUCUGGGAGGACCUGGAGGGCCACUGGUAAAGAUAUCUGGGCACAGGGAGACCAGGAUGGGGUCUGCACCCCACUCUCCUCUGGCCAGGUUUCCUUCUGGAAAUGUCCUGUGAGUUUCCCAGCUGUCAUUUCAUUUAAGUAGAUUUCUCAAACAUAAAUAAUUCCCUGGCUGGAAAGAAGCCACUUCUUGGGGCCUGUGAGCAGAGCGCUGGAAGAUGCAUCAGCACGGAGCUGCUCCCGAGCACCAGCAAGAUCCUACUAAUGGGGAUGUGGAGUCACGAGGCUGCCCUUGGAUUUCUUGGGCCAAACAAGGCCCUCCUUUUGCCUUAUACCUUAUACGUUGAUGUGGGUAUAUUAUUUUCUGGGGUCAGUUAAGUUACUUUCUCUUCAUCUUGCAGGAAAUCCCCAAAAACUUCAUGGUAAUUAGUUCUUGGCUCAUUGCCUGACUGCCGGCCUCCACUGGGAAUAACGCAAGUUUCAUGAGCAUAGGGAUCUUGUGUCACUCAGUUCCUAUCAUGAAAGGAAUGAAUGAAUGAAUCUAGACUAAUGAGUAGAUAGGAAGCAUAUUGAAGAAUGAUAUUGAGGCUAUUACAGGAUAUUUUCUGUAACCUCAGGACCCAAGGGAGCUCACCUCAGCUGAGGAGAAUACAAUAAAGCCAAAGUUUUGUGGAAAUGGGCACUGGAUCGUUUGCUUCAUUCUUUUUUAAAAAUUUUUUUUUCAUGUUUUUAUUUUGAGAGACAGAGACAGAAUGA